AAACUCAUACUUUUAUAUAUUUUAUAAAUAGAUUAUAGAUUAUAGAUAUAUCUGUAAAAUUAAUUAAAUGAUGAUUAAUUUAAAAUAAUAUCUAAUAGUAAUUAAUUAAUAUACUCUUGUGUAUAGGUAAAAUUCCAUUGUUAAGAGUCUGCUACCCUAGCAUGUCUCUGUCUGCCUCUCUGGCAAGUUUAGGUUCUCAAAAGUUUUUCUUGGCCUGACGGCUUACAUCUCCAGUGUUUUGAAUAAUUCUCUUCGUUUGGUUUUCUCGUGUUACGCCCAUGGAAUCAGAAUUUGCUAGUCUAUCCCUUGAAGAUGAAGAUGAAGAAAUCCUGCAAGCACAAGGAGAUACAGAAUCGGUAAGUGAAGAAGAAGUUCUAAGUUCUGGUUGGAUGUUUUCUUACAACCAGUAUUAUCCAUUAUCCAGCAAUGAAAAGUACAAUGGCUAAUCUAUGGCAUCCGGUUAAGGGUGUUCAAAUCAGAGAUCUGGGGGAAAAGAGGUAUAUAUUUAAAUUUUUUCAUAUUGUGGAUAUGGAAAGAGUUAAAAAGGGUCCCCUUGGACAUUUAAUAAUCAUCUAUUGGUUCUGCACAAGUUGCAAUGGGGAGAGGAUCCGCUAAAAGUUCCACUAAUUUCGUCACCUUUCUGGGUACAAAUCCAUGAUGUACCAUUUGGCUUUUAUUCUGAAAAUCUGGCCAGACAAUUAGGUAACUUCAUUGGAAUUUUUCAAGAGUAUGAUAGCUCUAGUUUGGGGAAAGAAAAUAUGAAUUUUAUGCUGAUCAGAGUUCAAAUUGAUAUUUCUUCGUCAUCUCAAAAGGAAAAAACAAGUUAUGUUUAAGAAUAUAUGCUCUUAUGUUAGAUUUAAGUAUGAGAGAUUAACUCUCUUUUGCUUCUAUUGUGGCCAUCUAGGUCAUAAUGAAUCCUUUUGUGAAGCAAAGAUGGAGGCUGGGGUUGAAAUUGAUGAGAUGAGCUGGGAUCUGUCUUUGCGUGCACAGUCAAUAAGAGCCCAAGCAAUGAGUAGUGCCUGGUUAAGGGAGGAGGGAGGAUUUGUAGACAGAAAUAACUGAGAUGAAUUCAGGGGAAAUAUAGAGGGGAGGAAGGUAAGACAAUUUGAGAGUAUUCCUGAUCCUAUGUUAGGUUUUAACCUGGAAAGUAAUGGGAUCUCCCUUGGUAGAGAGAGAACAAGAAAGUUAAUUGAUAAUAAUCAAGUGGCGAUGGAGCAUGAUUUGGAGAAUGAGGUAGUUGUAGGAGAAGAGGGGAAAAAGAGAAUAAGAGGGGAUAUUGAAGAAAGUAAUGAGAUGGGAGGGAGAAACAGGAGAAAGACGAAAGUCAACCAUUUGAUAUCGGCGGCUGCCAAGAGGCAAGCCGACUGGUUGCAAUGAAAAUCUUAAGCUGGAACGUCUGAGGUUUGGGGAAUCCUCGGACAGUUCGACGACUUCGACAUUCGCUGAAGCAACAGUAUCCCCAAAUGAUCUUCUUAAUGGAGACAAAAUUAAACAAAAAUAGGAUGGAAAAAAUACGAAAAAGUUGUGGGUUCCAGUGUGGAAUUGAUGUGGACUCGAUUGGUUCUAGAGGGGGGUUAAGUCUAGCAUGGUGAGAAGGUGUUAACAUUAAGCUCCAAAGUUUUUCAAAUCGACAUAUUGAUGUGGUUAUUGGGGACAGAGAAGAUAAUAGAAUAUGGAGAUUUACAGGUUUCUAUGGUUCUCCUUACUCACAUGACAGAGAUGAAGCAUGGAAUCUGUUGCGAUGAUUACGGAAUUAUGGAGAAUACCCAUGGAUGGUUUGUGGGGAUUUUAACGAAAUCUUAUAUGGUUUCGAGAAAAAAGGUAGAUUACCAAGGGAGGAAAGAAGAAUGGAAGCUUUUCGUCAGGCUUUAGAAGAUUGCAACCUAGUUGAUUUGGGAUAUUCAGGUAGGUGGUUCACGUGGGAGAAAGGGAAUUUAUUUGAAACAAAUAUCCAGGAAAGACUUGAUAGAGGAGUUACAACGGAGCAAUGGAGCGCUUUAUUCCCAAAUGCUAUGAUUCGACACCUCUCACAUUUAUUCUCUGACCAUUGUCCACUUCUUUUGGAUACGGUUUGCAGAACUGAAAGGUUGGAAAAAAGAAAUUUCAAGUUUCAAGCGUGGUGGGUAUUGGAAGAAACAUUUUUGAGUGAAACUAAACAAAUUUGGGAAAACUCUACAGGAGAUUUUGUAAACAAGCUGGAAAACUUGAAAAGAGGUUUGGAGAGGUGGGGAGCUAAGAUUCAGCAGAAUAGAAAGAUGAAAACAAAUGUUUUGACUUCAAAACUGGCAACAUUACUUGAAUCUAAUAGAAGUGAUGAGAAUCUAAUAGAGAUUAUUAAUACAAAAAUCCACCUGAAUUUUGAUAUCAAAAAGGAGGAAAGUUAUUGGGAGCAGAGGGCCCGAAUUAAUUGGUUGAAACUUGGUGAUAGAAAUACAGCUUUUUUUCACAAGCAAGCAUCACAAAGAAGAAAACAAAAUCAAAUCCAUAGGUUGCAGCUCGAAGAUGGAAGGGAGACAGAGGAGUGUACGGAAAUGGAGGAAAUCGCUAGAAUAUAUUUUCAAAAAUUAUUUACAUCAGGAGGACAAAGAAAUUUUAAGAGGAUUCUGACAGGAAUUGAAAGAUGUAUUUUAAAGGAAGACAAUAAUAUUUUAAAGGCAAGAUACACGAAGGAGGAGAUACUAGAAGCUCUUUCAGAAAUGGGUCCUUCAAAAGCUCCAGAAGAGGAUGGUUUUCCAGCCUUAUUUAGCAGAAGUGUUGGUCAAUUAUGGGAGAGAAUGUAUCUAAAUUUUAUCUCCAGAGGUUAAACGAAGGUAUGGAUUUACAUUCAAUUAAUAGGACAAACAUUGUGGUUAUCCCAAAAAUCUUUAAUCCCUCAAGGAUUACUCAAUUUAGACCAAUUAGCUUAUGUAAUGUGAUCUGCAAACUGAUAGCUAAAGUCAUUGUUAGAAGACUUUGGGGAGUGAUCCAUAAAUGUAUUGAUUUAGCACAAAGUGCUUUUGUUCCAGGGAGACUGAUUUCCGAUAAUUUUCUUCUUGCUUAUGAAAUUAUACACACUCUAAAACUCAAGAGGGUGGGGAAAAAAGGUUUCAUGGCUGUCAAACUGGACAUGAGUAAGGCAUAUGACAGGGUUGAAUGGGGUUUUGUGGAAGGGGUAAUGAAAAAGAUGGGUUUUGAUCCAUAAUGGGUGGAUUCAGUUUUAAAUUGUGUAUCAUCGGUCUCAUAUGAGGUGAUUGUCAAUGGAAACAUAGGGGCAAAAGAUUAUAUCAAGAGGCCUACGACAAGGAGAUCCUCUAAGUCCAUUCUUAUUUCUUUUUUAUGCAGAAGGAUUAUCGAGUCUAAUGAGGCUUGCAAAAGAAGAGAAUAUUCUUAAAGGAGUUAAAGUAAGCCGAAGAGGACCAGCUAUCUCCCAUUUACUCUUUGCAGAUGAUUGUAUUUUAUUUGCAGAAGCUACAGAAAAGGGUGCACAAUCUUUAAAAUGGAUACUACAGCAAUAUGAAUUGAACUCAGGGCAAUGUGUGAAUUAUGAAAAAUCGACUAUUUUUUUUAGUUCAAAUACAGAAGAGGGGGUAAGGGGUGACGUAUCAACGAUUCUUCGAGUCAGAAGAGCAAUUGAUAUAGAACGAUAUCUAGGGCUGCCUAGUAUGGUAGGGAAGAGAAAGAAAUCAUCUUUUCAAAGUUUGAAGGACAGACUCAAACAAAGAAUUGAUAACUGGAAUACUAGGUUUCUUUCCUAAGGGGGAAAAGAAGUUUUUAUUAAAGCGGUCCUACAAGCUAUUCCAACUUAUUCGAUGUCUUGUUUUCUUCUCUCUAAGACCCUUUGCACAGAAUUGGAAAGAAUAGUUGCUAAUUUCUGGUGGCGGAAGAGAGGGACUAAAAAGAGUAUUCAUUGGUGCACAUGGGAGAAUCUAUGCUUAUUAAAAGAGGAAGGUGGCCUUGGUUUCCAGAAUUUUGCGAAAUUUAAUAUUGUACUAUUAGCGAAACAAGGUUGGCGUCUUGUUAAUUACCCAAAUUCAUUAUUAGCUCGUGUUUUGAAAGCAAAGUAUUAUCCCAAUUCAGAUUUCUACAAAGCUAGGUUGGGAAAUUUACCUUCGCUUACCUGGAAAAGUGUUUGGACGACUAAGGGUCUGCUCGAAAAAGGUCUUUGCUGGAGGGUGGGAAAAGGUGAUAAAAUUUCAAUACGAGAUGAUCUGUGGAUACCAGGAAACGAAAUGGUUAGAGUACCAAAGCAAGAAGUUAUUGGAAAUCUUGAAUUAGUUUCAGACUUAAUUAACCCAAGUAACAGAAUGUGGAGAACAGAGGUAGUGCGAGAUACCUUCCAACCGAUUGUAGCAGAAAAAAUUUUGAAGAUCCCACUGGCGGAGAUGGAACAUGAAGACUUUCAAGUUUGGAGAGGGGAGUCGACCGGCGAGUUUUCAAUUAGGAGCGCCUAUAAACUAUUACAUGAAUCUACAUUGGAUCCUAAUGAUUUAAUAUUACAUACCGAAACUAUAAAUUUCUAUAGAAAGCUAUGGAAACUACAUAUCCCAUCGAAGAUCAAAAUGAUAAUAUGGAGGAUUUCAUGGAAUUUUAUCCCAUCCUUUUUCAACCUCAAAAUAAAAUGGGUAGUGGUGAAUACUGAUGUCCAAGAUGCGAUAGUGAAGAAGAAAACAGCUGCCAUAUCUUUCAACAGUGCCCUACAGUGAUUGAGGUUUGGACUCACUUAAACAUGUCAUGGAUAUUGAAUCAGAAUAGUGAGAAUAUAGGGAGAUGGCUUACGGGAGUAUUUGGACAAUGAAAUGAUAAGCAACUUCGCCUUCUCUGUUGUGGUCUCUGGUUUAUCUGGUUUAGUAGAAAUCAACUCUUAUACGAAAAAAGACAAAUGUCAGGAACUGAAAUUGCAAGGAAAAUUAGGAACUAUAUUUUAGAACUUGAAGCAACAAAAAGAGGAAAACUUACUCUCCACUCUUCUGAAAGUUUUCAACAGGUGCUCAAAAGGGGAAGGGCAACGGUUCAUUUUGACGUAGCUUUUGACCGUCAGACAUCCAGAUCGGCAUUGGGGCUAAUAGUAUGGAAUGGGAAGGGGAAAUUCUUGUAUCACAGGCAGUUCACCACUCCAACAUUGAAGAUCCAUUUACAGCAGAGGCAUAUGCAGGAUUACAAGCAAUAAAACUAGGUAUCGGUUUGAGAAUCAACAAAAUCUAAGUUAUGGGUGACUCGAAAACGAUUAUCAAGAAGUGUCAAAGUUCUAUUAUAGACAGAUCGGUCAUUGGAGCAAUAAUCAAAGACAUUCAAAACAGGAAAAGCAGUUACCAGGAGAUUGAGUUUUCUUUUAUCCCAAAAGCAAGAAACAUCUAUGCUCACACUAUAGCAACGGAGGCUCUCAAGAGAGGAGAAAGCUUUUACCUGGAGAAGGGAGUCCCAGAAAUGGUCCGUCAUGCACUGGAGAGAUUCAGGCUGAAACCACCAGAUUGAAGAAAUGAAGAGUUUUUCUCUCCUGCAAUAAAAGGUAGCAGAGAAACAGAAGCAUUGGAAACCAGCUAUCAUAAAGGCUGGUCGGUGGAAAUGACUAACUGGUGUCCAGCUAUAUUGAUUUGACUG
rnacentral:lncRNA from 1 species